rnacentral:rRNA from 1 species
GUCGAGUGCGCGCCUGUAGCAAUACAGGUGGCGCACGGCGCACGGGUGCGUAACACGUGGGUAAUCUGCCCUUCGAAGGGGAAUAACUCGCCGAAAGGCGAGCUAAUUCCGCAUAACAUUCCAAGAACUUUGGUUUUUGGACUCAAAGGCGUAAGUCGUCGGAGGAGGAGCCCGCGCACGAUUAGCUAGUUGGUAGGGUAACGGCCUACCAAGGCUAUGAUCGUUAGCUGGUCUGAGAGGAUGGCCAGCCACACUGGAACUGAGACACGGUCCAGACUCCUACGGGAGGCAGCAGUGGGGAAUCUUGCACAAUGGGCGAAAGCCUGAUGCAGCGACGCCGCGUGGGGGAUGAAGCUUCUCGGAGUGUAAACCCCUUUCGACCCGGACGAAUGCCCCGCAAGGGGACUGACGGUACGGGUAUAAGAAGCCCCGGCUAACUACGUGCCAGCAGCCGCGGUAAGACGUAGGGGGCCAGCGUUGCUCGGAAUUACUGGGUGUAAAGGGUUCGUAGGCGGUGUGGCAAGUCGGGAGUGAAAUCUCUGGGCUCAACCCAGAGUCUGCUUCCGAAACUGCUGUGCUUGAGUGUGGGAGAGGCGCGUGGAAUUGCAGGUGUAGCGGUGAAAUGCGUAGAUAUCUGCAGGAACACCCGUGGCGAAAGCGGCGCGCUGGACCACUACUGACGCUGAGGAACGAAAGCUAGGGGAGCAAACAGGAUUAGAUACCCUGGUAGUCCUAGCCCUAAACGAUCA